UACGUAGGUGGCAAGCGUUGUCCGGAUUUACUGGGCGUAAAGAGCGCGCAGGCGGUCGAUCAAGUCGCGUGUGAAAGCCCCCCGGCUCAACUGGGGAGGGUCACGCGAUACUGAUCGACUCGAAGGCAGGAGAGGGAAGUGGAAUUCCCGGUGUAGUGGUGAAAUGCGUAGAUAUCGGGAGGAACACCAGUGGCGAAGGCGACUUCCUGGCCUGUUCUUGACGCUGAGGCGCGAAAGCUAGGGGAGCAAACGGG
rnacentral:rRNA from 1 species